CUGGACGCUGGCUGCAGUCCGGGCUCACUGGCUCUUCAACGCUUGCGUCGGGUUUGGUUUCUGAUUUUGUUUAUUGAGGAGGAAAACCGUCUCCCUUCUGUCGCCCGUGUGUAGAGUCUACCCUGUGGUCAUGAAGCAGUAAACACUGGAAACAUGACAUUCAAAGUACGCCUUUAUUUGUUUUUCAUUCCUCUUCUUUUCGUUGACUAAUCAUUCACUGCAAGAUGCAGGAAGAAUACUUGCCGUCUGUUUCUCUCUGUCUCCCACUCUAUCAUAUCAUAUUCUCUGUCUUUCUCCCACUCCUUCCCUCCCUGCCUCCCUCUCACUCUUCCACUCCGCUUUCAGAACCAGAACUUACAACCUCCAUUAUUAAUGGCUUCUAUCCCCCCCCUCUUCCCCGCUCUGUUUUUUCCUCUCCUUCCAGGCAGAUCAUCUCCCAGGACCUCCGACGAGCGGCGCGGUGAACCAGAAGCCCCGAAGCCUCCAUGAUGUCCCGGAGUCGAUCGAGCGGGGGCGGCUCCUCCAGCCUCCCCCAGUCCUCCAGCCUCCCCCUCCCCACCAGCUCCGUCUCCCCCAAGAUAGACGCCGUCCGGCAGCAGCAGCAGCAGCAGUACACCCCCCUGCCUGCCCACCUGGCCGCUCAGCUCCAGCGCGCCCGGAGCCGCUCGUUCUACGGCUCGUCUCCGUCGUCGGCGUCGACCACGCCCUCGGCGGUGGACGUUCUCCAGAGAGCCGCUCUGAAGAACCAGCUCCUGCAGGAGCAGCAGCAGCAGCAGCAGCAGCAGCAGCAGCAGCACAAGGGCCUCCCCGCUGCUGCCGGGAAGGCUGGUGGACGUGGUGGUGGAGGUGGUGGGGAUGGUGGUGGGGCCGGGCGGCCUCAGAGAGCCAUAGGGACGCGUUCGGCCUACAGCAGCCCCCAGGUACCCAAGAGGGAGGUACCGCGCACCAAGGACACCUUGGACCUCCGCGGGGGGUCCCUCCCCCAGAAGAGCCUGCGGGGAGAGGACCACCAGACCAGGAGGAACACCAACCAGAACUGGACCUUCGGGAAGUACCGGCUCCGGAGCGUGGACAACGCGGACAGCGCGGACCCGUCGGCGGCGUCCCGCGGCGUCCUGGCCCACUCGCCGCCGCCGCCGCCGCCGCCGCCCCAGUGCCGGGCCGGGAACGGGAACGAGGCGCCCCCAGGGGGGAGGAGACACAGCCACAAGGAGAGCGGGAACCUGCUGGCCAACCAGACGGGGGCCGUCAACAUGGCCGCUGUCGCCCCCUUCAGGUUCAGCAGGCUCCAGGUGACUGAGGAGACCGACCCCUCUGUGGAUGACCUGAGUGACUGCUCCUCAGACUCCAUGGAGGUCUGCUGUGAGGACCUGGGUGAGAACCACACCACGCCAACAUCUGGAGCUGGUCCACCUACGAUCAAUAUACACUGAUACAUCUAGUACCAAUAUAGAACCACACAAUACAUCUAGUACCAAUAUAGAACCACACAAUACAUCUAGUACCAAAAAUGAACCACAUCUAACACCAAUAUAGAACAACACUUAUACAUCUAGUACCAAUAUAGAACCACACCAAUGCAUCUAGUAACAAUAUAGCACCACACUCAUACAUCUAAAACCAAUAUAUGUAUGUAUCUAUAUAUAUAUAUAGAUACAUAUAUAUAUACAAUACAUCUAGUAACAUUAUAUUACAAGACAAUUAAUCUAGUAACAAUAUAUAACACAAAAUAAAUCUCUACAUCUCUUACAAAAUACAUAUUGUACCUAUAUAUAUAUAUAUAUAUAUAUAUAUAUAUAUAUAUAUAUAUAUAUAUAUAUAUACACAAUACAUCUAGUAACACUUUUGAACAGUUUAUUAUUACCAAUGUAUAGUGUAUAAAUAUUUUCUAUCAGAAACACCUUUGUCUAGCAUGAGGCUGUAGUGGUAGAUAUAGUCUUAGCUAUAUGGGUUAGCUAUGGCUAGUCGCUGAUGAAGCCAGCUUUCAGGGCAGCUGUCAGGUCCAUCAGACCUCAAUAGCCGUUUGUGGAGACGUGUAUUCCACUGUUCUGUACCAUAAUCCAAAGCAUAUGUGGGAAAAUAUUUGUUCUUGGCAGUCAUCGACACACACACACAAGCACACACACACACACACAAGCACACACAGACACACACAAACUCACGCGCACACACACACACACACACACACACACACACACACACACACACACACACACACACACACACACACACACAUACAUACACACACAAGCACACACACACAGGCACAUACACGUGCAAGAGCACGCGAACACAUACACUCUUGCAUGCACAUGCACACACAUACACACGCAAAGACAAACACACACACACAAUGCUUCCCUCAUUCCGUACGUGAUAAAUAUCCACUCUGCGGCUCUCUGCAUUAAAAUAGUUGUAACACUAAAAAUCCCCCUUAUAAAUCACUCUAGGCUAUGAGCAGGACUCCAGCUAUUACAUCGUACCUGUCAGGCAGUGUAGCAUGUUGACAGCAUGGUGCCAAGAACCGGUGGACUGAAUGUAAAUCUUCCUGCGUAGUGGCUAGCCAUCGGAGGCCAGACACCGAGAUGUGUUGCAGUAUAUUUAGUGUUAAGAUGUCUUACUAAUGGGUUAGGGUAGUGUAGUGUAGAGGGAGUUCAGCUCACUUCUGAUGAAACGCACCGUGUGCUCCAUGAACAACACCCUUCCCAGAAAGAGAAUGAUUAAGUAUGUUUAUAUGUUGUGUGCGUAUCCAGAGUAUGUGUCUAUACACGCCGUCCAGUAGAUUUACAUAACGACUGACACAUAAAGGUAGGAGGCUUGUAUGAGAUGCCCUUAAUGUUCAUCUGGGAUGGUAGAUUAAUGAUUAAAGUUAAUGUUUAAGUAUGUUUAUGUUAC
ensembl:lncRNA